rnacentral:rRNA from 1 species
CAAAACAGCGAUGUGGAGCAAACCCCUAAAAAUGGUCUCAGUUCAGAUUGCAGGCUGCAACCCGCCUGCAUGAAGUCGGAAUUGCUAGUAAUCGCGGAUCAGCAUGCCGCGGUGAAUACGUUCCCGGGCCUUGUACACACCGCCCGUCACACCAUGGGAGCCGGUAAUACCCGAAGUCAGUAGUCCAACCUCGUGAGGACGCUGCCGAAGGUAGGAUUGGCGACUGGGUGAAGUCGUAACAAGGUACC